UACGGAGGAUUCAAGCGUUAUCCGGAUUUAUUGGGUUUAAAGGGUGCGUAGGCGGUCGGAUAAGUUAGAGGUGAAAUCCCGGGGCUCAACUUCGGAAUUGCCUCCGGUACUGUUCGGCUAGAGAGUAGUUGCGGUAGGCGGAAUGUAUGGUGUAGCGGUGAAAUGCUUAGAGAUCAUACAGAACACCGAUUGCGAAGGCAGCUUACCAAGCUACUUCUGACGUUGAGGCACGAAAGCGUGGGGAGCAAACAGG
rnacentral:rRNA from 1 species